AACGAACGCUGGCGGCAGGCUUAACACAUGCAAGUCGAACGCCCCGCAAGGGGAGUGGCAGACGGGUGAGUAACGCGUGGGAAUCUACCUAGUUCUACGGAACAACAGUUGGAAACGACUGCUAAUACCGUAUACGCCCUACGGGGGAAAGAUUUAUCGGAAUUAGAUGAGCCCGCGUAAGAUUAGCUAGUUGGUGGGGUAAUGGCCUACCAAGGCGACGAUCUUUAGCUGGUCUGAGAGGAUGAUCAGCCACACUGGGACUGAGACACGGCCCAGACUCCUACGGGAGGCAGCAGUGGGGAAUAUUGGACAAUGGGCGCAAGCCUGAUCCAGCCAUGCCGCGUGAGUGAUGAAGGCCUUAGGGUUGUAAAGCUCUUUCAGUGGGGAAGAUAAUGACGGUACCCACAGAAGAAGCCCCGGCUAACUUGGUGCCAGCAGCCGCGGUAAUACGAAGGGGGCUAGCGUUGUUCGGAUUUACUGGGCGUAAAGCGCACGUAGGCGGAUUGGUCU
rnacentral:rRNA from 1 species